CGGGGGAGGUGAGCUGUCGCGGGCUGUUAAGCUCUGUGUCGGGCUCUGGUGGCCUCGCCUGGACCCCACGCGCGCUGUGUGCCCCAGGUCUCUUGAGCGGGGCUUGCGCCUGGAAGCUCUUUCUGGGCAAAAUCGAGAAGGCCCAGAGGCAGUAGAGCAGGGCAAUCCAUGGGCACCAACAGAGGCAACGAAGUUCUUCCCAGGCAGCAGCUGCUCCCCGGGGACAGAGCAGCCACGGGGUCCUGUCCAUUGGGCAGUGAGGACGAGGGACAUCAACACCUCUUCUGGAAGGGUGAGCAUUCUGAAGCUGGGCGUCUCCGAUUCCAUCUCCUGUGGAUGGACAAUCAUGGUGACCUGGGGGCAGCCAGAGAAGCCACGGGGUCCUGUCCUUGGGGCAGCGAGGAUGAGAGACAUCAACCUUUUCUGGAUGGGCAAGGAUUCUGAAACUGGGCAUCUUGGAGUCAGUCUUCCAAUGGAUGAUCAUGGUGACCUGGGGGCAGCCAGAGUAGCCAUGGGGACCUGUCCUUGGGGCAGCGAGGACGAGGGACAUCAACACCUCUUCUGUAAGGGCGAGGAUUCUGAAGCUGGGUGUCGGAGUCCAUUUCCCGGUGGUGAUCUGGGGGCAGCCAGAGAAGCCACGGCGUCCUGUCCUUGGGGCAGCGAGCAUGAGGGACAUUCAACACCUGUUUGGAAAGGGCGAGGAUUCUGUAGCUGGCCAUCUCGGAGUCCAUCUUCCUGUGGACGGAUGAUCCUGUUGACCUGGGGGCAGCCAGAGAAGACAUGGGGUCCUGGCUGUGGGGUAGCAAGGACGAGGGACAUUCAACCCCUUUUCUGGAAGGGCGAGGAUUCUGAAACUGGGCAUCUUGGAAUCAGUCUUCCAAUGGAUGAUCAUGAUGACCUGGGGCAGCCAGAGUAGCCAUGGGGACCUGUCCUUGGGGCAGCGAGGACCAGGGCCUUUCAACACCUCUUCUGGAAGGUUAGCAUUCUCAAGCUGGGCAUCUUGGAGUCCACCUUCCUGUGGACGAUCGUGGUGACCUGGGGGCAGCCAGAGAAGCCAUGAUGUCCUGUCAUUGGGGCAGCGAGGACGAAGGACACUAUACGCUUGAUGACCCCAGAGGCAAGGAUUCUGAAGCUGCAAGUCUUGGAGUCUGUCUUCCCGUGGAAGAUCGUGGAGACGUGGGUCACCAGAGACAUAGCUCUGCUGCAGCAUCUGCUGUGUAGACCCUUUGGUGGCCCCAGGACCCUCUUUCACUUCAGAGGUCAGAGGGACAAGCUGACAAGGGGAGAACACGGCCCUGUCAUGCCAUGGCCUGGUCCCUGGUUCCUGUCCCUUUGAGACCCCAGGGCACUUUGGUGAAGAAGCCCACAGACCAGCAGGGAGGUGGCAGGUGCCUCGUCCAAGCCAGAGGAGAUGCCCACCCUGGGGCUCGGUCCCCCGAGGACAGACAUGGGGAGGCAGUGCUGGCAGCACAGAGCUGUAGUGAUGCCAGCGCACCUGCCAGGCCCCAGCACAGCCCCGGCUGCUGGCCUGGUCUACAGCUCAUGGGCAGGGACCUCCAAGCCCGGCCGCCACAGAGGGGUCCCCUCUCUCACGUGCUCACCCCCCAUCGCGCACCAUGCAGGACCUUGCAUGCAAGACUCAUGGGGCCACUGUGGCCCUCAGAGACACCCAUCUCCCAGGGGGGCACAUUGAGGCUCCGAGGCCUGAAGGGCCCGACUCGAAGGUCAGGGCUCUCAGGAGGGACGGGAUCCGGACGUCUGAGUCUCAGAGGAGCAGAUGCACUCACCUCCAUCCAGGGGCCUCCGGCACAGGAGCCAUGGCCUGCAGGAAGGACAGAAACGCCCAGGACACGGUCCUCCUGCACCUGGCAGCCCCACCUCCACCUGCCCAGGGUCUGCGCUACCUUGUCCAGGUAAGAGCUGCUGCAUCUCCCAUGGAAACCCCGGGGCAGUCUGUCUGUCCUGAGGAUGGCUUCGCGGUGAGGAUGCCCUGAGCCGCCUGGCCACACUGCCUGGCCGAGGGCUGGGGCAGCAGGGCAAGGACGAGCAGUGCCGAGACCUCGGCUCCAAGUCUCAGGAGAGGGACCCCCGGCUGCUGCAGCGAUGGGGCCUGACCGGGAGCUGCUGCGGCCUCUCCCCUUCCUUAGACCCGAGUACAGAGCUGCACACAGCCAGUGCCCACGCUGCUGAGGGGCACAGACAGCAAAGUGGAGUAUGGCUGAUGCUGCUAUAGCCUCCAGAAACUGCAGGGGUGAAGCCCACAGCCCCUCUGCACUCUCCCCUGACCCAUGAGGACCAUGGGCAUCAGUGUGAUUCCCCACCCCCUCCCAUGCACCUGCUCCAUUACUGCACACAGACACGAAGCCAAUGGACACCCUGGCUGCCUGGGGUGACCCUGCCCACUGUGGGUGAGUCCCUUACCACCAAGAGGUCCUUCCACAGGAAGUCUCCUUGCUGGUGCAGAUCGAGUUUUUGGGGCUUCUUGGGUGUUGAACCUUGGACAGCCACCACAGACAGGGCAGCAGAGCCCCUGUGCACAGGACAGAGGGGCCCGCACUGCCACUGCCCCUGCCCUGCAGACAGAGGCACCGUAGCUGAAAGACCCCCGCAGGCUCCAUCUCGCAGUAACAACCCUUUCUCCCACCCCCGUGCAGACAGCCCCUGUCCCACCUGACAGCCUUCUCAGCUCGGGCCCCAGGAGCCGCCAU